UCGACCGGGGCGACAGCAAUAUGAAGGUCAGGCUGAAGACCUUACCGGAUUAGCUGAGAGGUGGUGCAUGGCCGUCGUCAGUUCGUACUGUGAAGCAUCCUGUUAAGUCAGGCAACGAGCGAGACCCACGUCCACAGUUGCCAGCAUACCCUCCGGGGUGAUGGGUACACUGUGGAGACCGCCGCUGCUAAAGCGGAGGAAGGAAUGGGCAACGGUAGGUCAGUAUGCCCCGAAUCUCCCGGGCUACACGCGGGCUACAAUGGUUGGUACAAUGGGCAUCUACCCCGAAAGGGGAAGGAAAUCUCUUAAAGCCAAUCGUAGUUCGGAUUGAGGGCUGCAACUCGCCCUCAUGAAGCUGGAAUCCGUAGUAAUCGCGUUUCAACAGAACGCGGUGAAUACGUCCCUGCUCCUU
rnacentral:rRNA from 1 species